rnacentral:rRNA from 1 species
UGGGGAAUAUUGCACAAUGGGGGAAACCCUGAUGCAGCGACGCCGCGUGAGUGAAGAAGUAUCUCGGUACGUAAAGCUCUAUCAGCAGGGAAGAAAAUGACGGUACCUGACUAAGAAGCCCCGGCUAACUACGUGCCAGCAGCCGCGGUAAUACGUAGGGGGCAAGCGUUAUCCGGAUUUACUGGGUGUAAAGGGAGCGUAGACGGCAGCGCAAGUCUGGAGUGAAAUGCCGGGGCCCAACCCCGGAACUGCUUUGGAAACUGUGCAGCUCGAGUGCAGGAGAGGUAAGCGGAAUUCCUAGUGUAGCGGUGAAAUGCGUAGAUAUUAGGAGGAACACCGGUGGCGAAGGCGGCUUACUGGACUGUAACUGACGUUGAGGCUCGAAAGCGUGGGGAGCAAACAGG